rnacentral:rRNA from 1 species
AGUGAACGCUGGCGGUAGGCCUAACACAUGCAAGUCGAACGGCAACACAGGAGAGCUUGCUCUCUGGGUGGCGAGUGGCGGACGGGUGAGGAAUACAUCGGAAUCUACUCUGUCGUGGGGGAUAACGUAGGGAAACUUACGCUAAUACCGCAUACGACCUACGGGUGAAAGCAGGGGACCUUCGGGCCUUGCGCGAUUGAAUGAGCCGAUGUCGGAUUAGCUAGUUGGCGGGGCAAAGGCCCACCAAGGCGACGAUCAGUAGCCGGUCUGAUGGGCUGGUCAGCCCCACGGGAACUGAGACACGGUCCAGACUCCUACGGGAGGCAGCAGUGGGGAAUAUUGGACAGUGGGCGCCAGCCUGAUCCAGCAAUACCGCGUGGGUGAAGAAGGCCUUCGGGUUGUAAAGCCCUUUUGUUGGAAAAGAAAUCCAGCUGGCUAAUACCCGGUUGGGAUGACGGUACCCAAAGAAUAAGCACCGGCUAACUACGUGCCAGCAGCCGCGGUAA